GACGAACGCUGGCGGCGUGCCUAAUACAUGCAAGUCGAGCGCUGAAGGUUGGUACUUGUACCAACUGGGUGAGCAGCGAACGGGUGAGUAACGCGUGGGGAAUCUGCCUUUGAGCGGGGGACAACAUCUGGAAACGAAUGCUAAUACCGCAUAAAAACUUUAAACACAAGUUUCAAGUUUGAAAGAUGCAAUUGCAUCACUCAAAGAUGAUCCCGCGUUGUAUUAGCUAGUUGGUGAGGUAAAGGCUCACCAAGGCGAUGAUACAUAGCCGACCUGAGAGGGUGGUCGGGCAAAUUUGGAACGGGACACGGCCCAAACUUCUACGGGAGGCAGCAGGAGGGAAACUUUGGCAAAAGAGGAAAGGCUGGCCGAACAACGCCCGGGGGGUGAAGAAGGGUUUCGGGUCGGAAAACUCUGUUGGUAGGGAAGAACGUUGGUGAGAGUGGAAAGCUCAUCAAGUGACGGUAACUACCCAGAAAGGGACGGCUAACUACGUG
rnacentral:rRNA from 1 species